rnacentral:rRNA from 1 species
CACACCAUGGGAGUUGAUUGCACCAGAAGUAGGUAGCCUAACCGCAAGGGGGGCGCUUACCACGGUGUGGUCAAUGACUGGGGUGAAGUCGUAACAAGGUACC